GAUGAACGCUAGCGGCAGGCUUAACACAUGCAAGUCGAGGGGUAGAGGAAGCUUGCUUCCUUGAGACCGGCGCACGGGUGCGUAACGCGUAUGCAACCUACCUUUUACAGAGGGAUAGCCCAGAGAAAUUUGGAUUAAUACCUCAUGGUAUAUAUCAUUCGCAUGUUUGAUAUAUUAAAGUUCCAACGGUAAAGAUGGGCAUGCGUCCUAUUAGCUAGAUGGUAAGGUAACGGCUUACCAUGGCAACGAUAGGUAGGGUCCUGAGAGGGAGAUCCCCCCACACUGGUACUGAGACACGGACCAGACUCCUACGGGAGCAGCAGUGAGGAAUAUUGGACAAUGGGCGCAAGCCUGAUCCAGCCAUGCCGCGUGCAGGAAGAAGCAUCUAUGGUGUGUAAACUGCUUUUGUAC
rnacentral:rRNA from 1 species